rnacentral:miRNA from 1 species
CCCUGCAGAUGACUGGACUCCA